GACAUAUGAAGUCUUAACAGUUGGUCUCUCACUUUUAUCUCAUCCAAGUGAGGUAGUGGAAAUGCUUAAUCAAGGUCUGGUUGCUGUAAUUGUCUAGAAGAGGGCCAGUAAUCUGCAGUUCAAACCAGACAAGACAGAAGUGCUCAUUGAUGGUUUACAUCCCAGGAUACUGAAGGAGCUGGCAGAUGAGAUCUCGGAACCACUGAAUAAAAUCUUUCAGAGCUCCUGGAGCAUGGGGAAACUGCCAGAGGCCUGGAAAAGAGAAGAAAGAAAACUAGCCUUAAGAGGGGACUCUAUAGUCUGAGCCUAGCCAUCAAGAAGAUUGUCUCAGAUGUUGCCCUUACUCUGGAAGCUCCAAGACAAAAUGAGCCAAUUUUGCCAACAUCUUUCUGGUUUGUGAGAUUGCAUCACAAUUUUUGGACUCCAGCCCAGAAGCCUUAGCAGAUUUUCAGUUCCUCUAAAGAAGAAAGCCAGGCCCCUUUAACUGAAGAUGCUUUGAUCAUUAGACACUCAGAUGGAAGCUUAAUCUCGAGUUUCAUGUUGUUGAAAUCUCAUUUUAGCCUAUUGUAGGAUUAUCCUGCCUGAAUUUCUGCCUCAAUCUGAGUUUGACUUCUGAAGACUACUAGAUUGAUUGAUGUUGUUUUCUUGACAGCAACAUAGUAGUCACUGCCUUCUUCUCAAACCCAUAUUUCAACUUUGAAAUUUAACCUACACAACUGAAUUUCCUGAUAAUCUUUUAUUCAAGUACUAAUUACUGCAGAUAGAGAUCCACCUCAUUUGGUGAAGGGAAUGGAGGUGAUUCUUAAAAUCUGGGUAGAUACAUAGGUGAGAAAGUAUUCCUUCAGAUAAUUUGGUUUAGGUCUUUCAAGGUUGAAAUCAACAUUUUAGAUUGGGUCCAGAAAAAAUUGGCAUCCACUGUAGAUGGCAAAGAAUUGGAAUAAUGUGUUUGCAUUGGCUUAUCCCAGAAAGCAAUCUAGCUGCUCUAUUUUGAACUAACUUUCCAAAUCAUUUUCAAAGGCAGCCCCUUACACAGCUCAUUAUAUAAUAAUCAAUAAUUUAUUUUCAUAUUCUAUGCCCAGAUUUAGUUUCUUCACAAGUGGCCUGAUCACUGCUUCUUUUAAAGUACAGCUUUAUCUAGAGUAUGGUCUUGGAUAGGUUCUCAUGUAUGAAAAAUGAAAGCAGUAAAGAUAUAAAGGAAUGAAAAAUGUGAAGAAGUGUAUAUUGUAUAGGUGUGUAUUGUUAUUAUUGAUAUGGGAGAUAGUAUACAGAUCUCUUGCAAGCAUUAAUUCAGGAAACACUUGAGACAUUUUAAAUAAUUAAACCUGUUCUCUUGGUUUCAGCCAAUAACUUAUAUAUUUUGGGGUAUGCAGAAGUUAUGCAAAGAAAAUUUAUCAAAGUUGAAUGUUACAUAUCUAUAAAUCACUACACAUUUCAGAAGAAAGAAUAUGUGAAGCUGUUAAUGCAAAAUGUUGAAAUAUUAAGGAUGCAUUGUUAAAAAUUAUUUAAUUUUGGAACCUUAACUUGAAGGUUUAUAGUUGCAUUUAAUGGAACUCAGCAAUGAUUAUAGUAUAUGAGAUACACUGUAGAAUAAACUGCAGAGUUUAAUUCAGGCAAAUUAACCCCCCUCCUGCUUUUACCUUACUUAAUAUUCUCCCAAAAUUCUAUGGUGCUUCAUUUCUGUUUUCAAAAUAUAUUUCCCCUUGGGGUUUUUUUCCUAAUAGAGAAAAUAUAAGAGAGUUUUUUUGUGUUCCUGGUCCCUUGCAACUCAUUUUGUGAUUUAAUACAUUUUUUAAAUAUAAAGAUCUGAUUCUUAUAAUUUUUCUUUGCAAUCAGUUUUCUUCCUUUUUGACUAUGUAUACACUAUGUAUACACUAUGUAUACACAAUGUUUCUAUGUAUACAUUAAUAAAAGUA